rnacentral:rRNA from 1 species
UAGGAGGAAAAGAAACCAACAGGGAUUGCCCUAGUAACGGCGAGUGAAGCGGCAACAGCUCAAAUUUGAAAGCUUAGCCUUCGGGUUCGCAUUUGUAAUUUGUAGAGGAUGAUUUGGGGAAGCCGCCUGUCUAAGUUCCUUGGAACAGGACGUCAUAGAGGGUGAGAAUCCCGUAUGUGACAGGAAAUGGCACCCUAUGUAAAUCUCCUUCGACGAGUCGAGUUGUUUGGGAAUGCAGCUCUAAAUGGGAGGUAAAUUUCUUCUAAAGCUAAAUAUUGGCGAGAGACCGAUAGCGCACAAGUAGAGUGAUCGAAAGAUGAAAAGCACUUUGGAAAGAGAGUUAAAAAGCACGUGAAAUUGUUGAAAGGGAAGCGCUUGCAAUCAGACUUGUUUAAACUGUUCGGCCGGUCUUCUGACCGGUUUACUCAGUUUGGACAGGCCAGCAUCAGUUUCGGCGGCCGGAUAAAGGCUCUGGGAAUGUGGCCUCCACUUCGGUGGAGGUGUUAUAGCCCAGGGUGUAAUACGGCCAGCCGGGACUGAGGUCCGCGCUUCGGCUAGGAUGCUGGCGUAAUGGUUGUAAGCGACCCGUCUGA